AUGUUUUAAAAAUGCAUUUAUGUACAUAAAUGCAUCUAGAUGUGUACAGAGAGGACAUCUAAAAGAAGCUUCUCUAAAAUAUUAACGGUAGUUUUCUCUAAGCGUAAGAUUGGGGGUAAUUUCUUGCUGCUUAUAUUUUGUUUUAUUACAGGUGAGUUUUUUGGGGAGAGGAGUACUAUAAGAAGCUUACAUUUUUAUAAUCUACAGAAAGAACGAAUCAAUUAUGGCUUUUAAGAAUUUCAGAUUACCAGCAUUGUGCUCUGGGAAGAAUAGCCUUCAAAGUCAGAUAGACCCAGAUCCAUUACUAGCUGUCUAAAAUCGGGUGCUUAGCCUCCCUUAUCUUCAAUUUCCUAGUCUGUAAAAUGACAAUGAUAAUAAGUACCUUAGAGGAAGUAAGAACGUGUGCUAAGAGCAUAGCACAAUGCCAAGAUCAUAUUAGUGGUCUAAUAAAUGUUCCCCACACACACCCCAUAUUUGAUACAGUGCUUAAUUCCCUUCUGCUCUGAUAGUGUGAAAGGACCUAGUAAUCAUAGUGCUAGGAAAUCUCAGCUGCAGAGAACUCUUUCCAAGACAGGUCAGCUUAUAGUAUCUUCCUUACUUAGUAGCUGUGGUCCGACAAAGCCUGAUAAGGGAAUCUGGGGUUUUUCCAGGCUUCCAUUAAGAACUUGAAAGUGUAAGAUAUAUCCCACUGGCAGGGCGCCUGGAUGGCUCAGUUGGUUAAGUGUCUGCCUUCUGCUCAGGUCAUGAUCCUAGGGUAGGGUCUUGGGAUGGAGCCCCGUGGUGGGCUCCCUGCUCAGCAGGGAGUCUGCUUCUCCCUCUGCCCCUUCCCCUGCUCCUGCUCUCUCUCUCUCUUUCUUUGUCUCUCAGAUGAAUUAAAAAAAAAAAACUUAAAAAAAAAAGAUAUCCCACUGGAAAAUAUUUUGGCCCCUAGAUCUAAUAAGAUCAUAUUUAAAUAAGUAAAACUUGGGGUUAGAUCGCAGUCUUACCAAACUUUAGUGUGUAUAUGAUCAUCUACAGAAGUGAUUCUCAAUCCCAUUCAGACCUGAUGUCACUUUUUUUUUUUACAAUGUUCAUGUUACUAUACUGAAAUUCAGAGAUAAUUUUUUAAAUGAAUACACACAUUUUUAAAAAUCAGUAUAAUUUCUUGACAGUAAGAUAAAGAAAUAAAAAGAAAGUCAUUAUAAUUAAUGUGUAUUUCAAUAUAUAAAUGGUCUGAUAUGAUUAACUUUAUGACAUAAAGCAGUAUUCGGAUGCUUGCACAUCUGGGUAGACUCAACCACGAAUGUGUCAAAUAUAAGUGUGUUAUAUUGACAACCAAAUAGCAUGAGCCAUUGACCAUUGAUGAUGUGAUUUUCCAAAAUGGUGCACAACUUUUGGUAAAGUUUUGGACUAAAAAGGUUAAUUUCCCUCUAGUUUACACAGUUGUUGAAUUCCUAUAAAAUUUAAUGCGUAGUAAGACCCUGCAGAAACUACUUUAAAGGGAGAUUGUUUAAAAUGUGCGUUCUUGGACCCUCAACUCCAAGUAUUUUGACUCAGGGAGUCUAGCAUAGGACCAAGAAUCUAUAUAACAACCUCCUGGCAGUGAUUUUGAUUCAGACUUUCUGUUUUCUAAAUGAACUGGGAAACUGAGAUGUUGUCUUGGAAAGAGAACCUAAGAUGAUAUACCAGGAACCAAAAACUGGUAUAUCAUUGGCCAUUCCUACCCAGCGUGGUAUACUGGGGCUAGAGGAAGAAAUUUAGAACAGGAAUAUCUUGGUUUCAGUCACAACUGGGCUACUUGCAAUUGCCUGGCUUGGUACAGAUGUUCUGGAUCUAUUUUCUUAUCUAUAAAAAUGGGUAUUGUUACCUGCAGUGUAGAGGAAUGGGAUUGUGGUUUCUGAAACCCUUUGGAGCUUGCUUGCUUUAUCAAGAUGACUAAAACUCCUGAUAUAAAGCAGUCUGUAAAAUUAAAUAUAUUAGGCAUGAAAAUUGCUUAUUAUGGCAAUGCUUUUAUCCACACGUUAGGAAAAUCUGAUCAGGGUGUUGUCACUUUCCCCAAAACCCACUGUUUGAACCCAGAGAAAGCAAGCCACAAAGAAAUUUAGUCGCUAACUCCUCCACUCAACAAGCAAAAUAAAAAGGCACAAGCUCGUAAUCCUGAUGACAAGAUUCUGGCUCCAUUUGGCCAGUGGCCAAGAGUGUGGAUAUGGAUGAGUCACUUCCCUUUCAUUGAACUCGGUUUACUUAGACUUUCAGCUCCAUCUGUUAGUCAACUACUCCAUUCCUCUUUGCUUCCUCCUUUCCCACACCUGCUACCAGCCUUUCUACCUCUCUGAUGACUUUUCCUCCGCGCUCCUACCGCUUCUUGUACGUUCCGCGCUUUCUUGUCCCAGAUUUCUGUCACCAGCUCCUCGGCCGUCCCUUUGGCUUCUUCCCUUUGUUCGGUGAUCCCUGGCAAUCCUCCCGCAACGUCCGGGCUCCUCCCCAAGAUGGGGGAAGGGGGGCGGCUACCCGCAGCCCCGACUGGGGCCCACACUGUGCGCCCGGGUCCCGGUACCUCGUCGCGUCCUCGCGACUUGCUCUUAGCUCCCUUUCCCUCUCAAGACCUCCUGCCCCCCAUCUCCGCCUUCAGCGCCGAGCUCGGAGGUUCCGGAGCCUCCGGCUGAGUGUGCUGGUCAAGGUGCCCUGUCACUCGCCACCCGUUCGCCCCGGAGAACAUCGCCAAGGGCCCCUGCCCAGACCGUGCGCCCCGGCUGCCAGACGCUGAGGCCGGCUUUAAUUCUUCCUUGGCUUGGGAUGCCCACCACGGGCGGGGGCAGUCGCUGCUGAGCCCGGAGCCCGGAGCCACCCACGUGUCCAAGAGCGCGGCGCGCGGCCAGCGCAAACCUCUCCAAGGCCGGCGGCUCCUGGUCGCGGAAGCUCCACUGUUGCGCGCGAAACCCUCACCGGCCGGAGAGCGGCGCGCGGGUCGCGAGCGGCACGUGCGGAUCCUCUGCGUCUCGCCGCAGGGUGCGGGUGCCCGCCGAGCCGGCGAGCCAGCGAGCGAGCGCCGGAGCAGGGAGGGUGGGCUCGCGGACCGGCCGAAGGGCCAGCACCUCGGGGCGGCAGGGGCCGCGCGGCGGCGCGGCCGGCGGGACUGCAGUGCCACCGCUCCGGAGAAAGCCCACACGCUCACACGCCCGCGCGCGCACGCACGUGCACACCGCGGGCAGCGAGAACACGAGCGAGAACCCUUGAGUGUUGGACGCGUUAUAGCCAUGGCUUCUGUCCUCAACAGCAAAAUUCACGCGUCCGGGACUUGCCAGGGCUCCAAAGCUGAUGCCCGCGGUGACGCCGACGCGAGAAUGGACUGGGAUCCCGAGAUGCACGUGAAAAUGUGCAAGAAGAUCGCCCAGCUCACCAAGGUGAUUUACGCCCUCAACACCCGCCAGGACGAAGCGGAGGCCAGCGUGGCGGCGCUGCGCGAGGCCCACCGGGAGGAACUCCAGAAAGCCGUGGCAGAGACCGAGGCCAGGCUCCUGCAGCAACAGGGGCCCGCGGAGGAGGAGGCCCUGCUCCGGCGCAUCCAGGCCCUGGAAAGCGCGCUGGAGCUGCAGACGAGGCUGACGCAGGAGGCCCUGGCGCAGUCGGCCACGUGCAGGCUGGAGACCAAAGAGAGAGAGCUGCGGGUGGAGGCCGAGCGCGCCGAGCGGGUCCUCAGCCUCUCCAAGGAGAUGCUGGAGCGCAAGGCUGACUACGAGAAGAGGCUCCGGCCCCUGACAAGCCACGAGGCGCCCCAGCGGGGCCGGCUUUCCCGGGAGGGCCCGGACCCUCGGGCAGAGCCAGGCCACGGCCAGGAGAUGCGGGAGGUCCUGCUGGAGGUGGAGCGGCUGCGCGUGGAAAACCAGCAGCUGAGCAAGGACUACGCCCGCAAGGCCGAGGAGCUGCAGGCCACGUAUGAGCGGGACACCGAGGCCAUCCGGCAGGCCAUGCAGCAGUCCGUGAGCGAGGCCCUGUGGCAGUGGCAGGAGAAGGAGACGGACCUCCGCAAGAACUUCCAGGUCCAGGAGUCGGCCCUGCAGGCCCAGGUCAGGAAGCUGGAAGGGGAUCUGGAGCACAGAGGCCGCAAGAUAAGUGACCUGAAGAAGUACGCCCAGAAGCUGAAGGAGAGGACGCAGGACCUGGAUGUGCAGCUCAAGGAGGCUCGGCAGGAGAAUUCAGAGCUGAAAAGCACUGCAAAAAAACUUGGAGAGAAGCUGGCUAUUGUCAAAGACAGACUGAUGCUGCAGGAGCGUCCCGUGAUGCAGAAAAGCGAUGACAUGAAGACGGAGCUAGUUUCAGAGAAUGAAGUCCUAGGGAAGGAGAAUGACCUGGAAGGCCGCAGUCUCCAUCCUCAGCAGGACCCAAAUUUUCCCAAGGAGUGUCCGUACACCAAAGGAGGCCCAGAGGCACAGACCAAGAAAGAGGCAAGUAUUGAGAUGGAAUAUAUGAAGCAACAGUAUGAAGAAGACCUUCGUAAAAUCAAACAUCAGACAGAAGAGGAGAAGAAACAUCUCAAAGACCAGCUAGUGAAGCGACUGGAAGACUUAGUGAAGAAGCACACCCUAGAAAUCAAGUCUGUUCGCUCAUCGGUGGAGGCAGAGAGGAGGAAGCUGCAGAAGGAAGUAGAAGCACAGUUGGAGGAAGUGAAGAAGAAGUCAGAAAAUGAAAUCAAGCAGCUGGAAGAAGAGAAAGCAGCCCUAAAUGUGAAGCUCCAGAACUCUCUGCUAGAGGUUUUAAGACUGGAAGAAUUUAUCCAACAGAAUAAGGUGCGUUCUGGAAAAGGCAAAGAAAGGCCCCAGGGAUUGGACUGCCGGCACCUCAGCAUUUUCGAGACCCAGGAUCCAUGCUUGAAGCUGAAUGAACCUCAGAACCUGCCCAGAGGAGAAGAGUAUCAGGAUAAGUUAGCAGCUGAGGAAGGAACCAGCAGUGAUGAAGAAGAAAGGAUUGAAGUGCCCCUCAAGGAGGGAGGUGACCUGCAACCUCCAUUGAACUUUUUGCUGAAGGAGAAGGCACCUGAAAUCCAGCGUCUGCAGGAGGAGUGGCAAAGCCAGAAGGCCAGAUUGCAGGCCCAGGUCUCACAGAUGCAGCAGGCUCUGGAGCAGUGCGCCAACAGCUACAGGGAGGACCUGCAGGAGCUCAAGCAACUCUCCGACCACGAAAGGGAGAAGCUGCAGCACGAGCUCCAGGAGACCAUUCAGCAGAACCAGGCCGUGAAAGCCCAGCUCGAGGCCUCCCACCAGCGGGCCCUGUGCACGCUUGAGAAGGCCAAAAAUCAAGAACUCAAGGCCACAGAGGAGCGCUUGAGGAAGGAAUCCAGCCACAGCCUCCAGAUCCAGCACCAGGCACACCGGCUGGAGCUCCAGGCCUUGGAAGAAAAGGCCCAGCAGGAGCUCCAAGGGGAGCUCGAGAGGAUGCAGGCUCAGCAGGCUCUGCUGUUAGCUCUUCCUUCUCCAGAGUCCCUCAGGCAGGAGCUCUCAGAGCAGCGGGCUGCCUGCUCUGAGCACCAGAAGGACCUGGAGGUGCUGCAGGCAGAGCUGAGGACUCUGGGCAGCGUGGGCAGGCGGCAGGCGAUCGCCCAGUGCCCAGGGGACAGCGAGGACCACACCGCCGCUGCCGAGGACGGGGGCGGUCCGGGCCAGGCCGGCUCCCCGGAGGGCGCCGCGGAGCCGAGUCCGAGCGAGGCGUGCGGCCUCUGGGAGGAGAACUCGCAGCUCAAGGACGCGGUGCAGCGGCUGCGGGCCGAGGUGGAACAGCACCAGCAGGAGGCGCUGCAGCUCCGCGACCAGCGCAGGCUGCUGGAGGAGGAUCAGCAAGCCCAGCGGGCCCGGGAGGUGGAGAAGCUACGCCAGGAACACCGGAAGGAGAUGCAGGCCAUGGUGGCAGAUUUCAGCAGUGCUCAGGCCCGGCUCCAGGCCCGGCUGGCUGCCCUGGAAACUGAACUGACAGAUUCUGGAGAGAAGCCAGGGAAGGGGGCGUCCAGACCAGAGGACGUUCAGCUCAUAGGCCGUCUGCAGACCCGCCUGAAGGAGAGAGAGGAGAUCAUCAAGCAGCUCAUGGUGAGGCUGUCAGGGCCACCAGGGGGCCCUGCAGAGUUCCUUCCGGAGGGCCAUUCACUUUGCACCUGGCCCUGCUCUGGGUACCCACAGUUUUAAUCCUGAUAAUCCUAAAACCACCUCCAGAAGAUCCUUGAUUCCUUUUGUCUAUUACCAAAAACAAAAAACAAAAAACAUACUAAAAAAAUAAAUACAGGAAAAUAGAGGCAAAAAAAAAGCACUCAAGUCCCACAGCAUCUACGUGACGUUGAUUGACUGGUUUAUUUUUUUUAACCUACGGAAUUGGGAAAAUCUAGAAUGGCUUGCCUUCUGUUUGAUUUUUAGUAAAUCAAUCAAGCCAAUUAUUGUUUAUUGAUCUUCCUUUUGCAAAAAUGACUACCUGCUUUGCAGUUAGCAAGCCAUCCCCUGGACUCCUUAGAAAAGUUUUCUCCCUCUGGUUCUGUAUCCAACAGCCACCAAAGCCUGAGGCCAUUUCUUUGGAAGCUCCCUCCCUCCAUCCACUCCUGCCCAUUCACACAGUCCACCCACCUCACAUCCCUGGAUCCUUCAUCCAUUGCUUUGGGCACUAACCUGCCUCUCUGUGCUCUCUGGUCUGGUUGAAAGCUGUAUCACCCCAGCUGACCUGGCGGGGACUCCUUCCCCUGCCUUACCUUCAGCCCUGGAGACAGUGGGUCUCGACUCACUCCUGUCCGUGUAGCCCAGGGUGGAAGGGCUAGUUAGCCCCAUCAGAAAUCCAGCCGCCUCCCCGCACCCGCCCCAUCUUGCCUCUACCACUUUAGUCCAAGCCCCUCACACACACCAUAGAGAACCACUGGUCUCCCCACUCACUUGAACCUUGCCCACAUGCUGACCUCACAUGAACCAGAGCAAUCUAGGAAAAUAUGUCAGAUGACAGCCAGCAUGGCUCUGUUCAGCACCUCCUGUGGCCUCCCAUCUUCUCCAAGUAAAAUCCACAGUCUUACGGUGGCCUCACACAAAUAUAGCCCUCUCAGAUCUCACUCCCAUUCCCACCCCUGCCAGAGCCACUGUUUCAUGUCAGUAUACUGAUGAGACCAUCAGGAAAAUUUCACCACUAACUGAAAAUUAGACACUAAGGAAUAGCUUGUUUGCUAAAUGUGACAAAAGUAUUGUGGUUAGGUUUUUUUUGUUUUUUGUUUUUUUAGAGUCCUUAUCUCUUAGAGAUACAUAUUGAUGUUUUUACAGAUGAAAUUAUACAAUGACUGGGAUUUGCUUUAAAAAUAAUACAGCAGGAGAGAAAAGUGGACACACAUAAACAAGGAGGAGAGAAGAUUUCACUAUGCAGCCUUCCCCAGUGCCAUGUCCCAUAGGAAUCGGUCCUUCUCUUUCAAUCCUCACCCAGGAUAUUUGACCCCUUCCAUGAAGAAAAAGAAGAUGGAGGAAGUGCCCAGCCGAGUG